GUUUCAAUUGUGUUAUAAAAUUAAAACAAAUUAUGAAACCGUUUUAAGUAAUCCUCUAAGACUAUGAUCUGAUUACAAUAAUGUACCAAUGAGACAGCUAAUCACAAGAGUUCGAAUGCAUGGAGUGGAUACAUUCAAUUACAAAAAUGUAUAGAACACCGCACAGUCUUCAACAAUGAGCAAAACCCAUACCGCAAAGCCAGCUGUAAACGGCCCCGACGUGACAAAUGUAAAACAAUCCAUACAUGAAAUCUGACGGCUUGAUUUAUGGAGAAAACGAUCAACAAAACAGCAAAUACAUGCAAUAACAAGCGACAACUACAAAAUGUCAGGCCCCAAACUUGGGACAGGUACAUACAGAAUAUGACGGGGUUAAAUAAUUGGGAUCCUAACCUGAGACUUUGGUUUAACAACACAAACUAAAAUAUGAAACUAUAAAAAAAUCAGUUGAAAAAAGGCAUGACUCAUUAAAUCGACACAUAACACACAACGAAACUAAGAUUUAAAAUAGUCCACUGAAA
rnacentral:lncRNA from 1 species